AGAACCACCCUGAAGGAGCCCAAUUUCAUCUGAUCUCAGAAGAUAAGCAGGGUUGGGCCUUGUUAGUUCUUGGAUAGGAGAAAAGAAAUUCUC
rnacentral:rRNA from 1 species